ACCCCUGUAGCUCAGUUGGUAGAGCAUGGUGUGUGCAACGCCAGGGUUGUGGGUUCGUUUCCCACGGGGGGCC
rnacentral:tRNA from 1 species